UACGAAGGGUGCAAGCGUUACUCGGAAUUACUGGGCGUAAAGCGUGCGUAGGUGGUGAGUUAAGUCUGUCGUGAAAGCCCCGGGCUCAACCUGAGAAUGGCGAUGGAUACUGGCUCGCUAGAGUGCGGUAGAGGAGAGUGGAAUUCCCGGUGUAGCAGUGAAAUGCGUAGAGAUCGGGAGGAACAUCAGUUGCGAAGGCGGCUCUCUGGACCAGCACUGACACUGAGGCACGAAAGCGUGGGGAGCAAACAGG
rnacentral:rRNA from 1 species